GGUAACAGGGGGAGCUUGCUCCCCGCUGACGAGCGGCGGACGGGUGAGUAAUGCAUAGGAAACUGCCCAGUAGUGGGGGAUAGCCCGGGGAAACCCGGAUUAAUACCGCAUACGCCCUUUGGGGGAAAGCAGGGGAUCUUCGGACCUUGCGCUAUUGGAUGUGCCUAUGUCGGAUUAGCUAGUUGGUGGGGUAAGAGCCUACCAAGGCGACGAUCCGUAGCUGGUCUGAGAGGAUGAUCAGCCACAUCGGGACUGAGACACGGCCCGAACUCCUACGGGAGGCAGCAGUGGGGAAUAUUGGACAAUGGGGGCAACCCUGAUCCAGCCAUGCCGCGUGUGUGAAGAAGGCUUUCGGGUUGUAAAGCACUUUCAGUGAGGAGGAAAACCUUACGACUAAUACUCGUGAGGCUUGACGUUACU
rnacentral:rRNA from 1 species